UGAGGUGUCAUCAAUUGAUUCCCUGGUUUAUCUAGACUUUUGACAGAGACCCACCGCACGUUGCACUGGCGUUCGUCUAUUUCUUGGUAGUCUGUGUAUUGUAGAACGAAUUGGCCAUUUUAAGGGAAGCAGGAGUACUUUCAAAAAUGGAAUCCAGAGCCGAAACGAUGCGAUGAUGAAUUUAGAACUUCAGAAGAAGAUCAAAUAUCUGAAGUAGCUUUAAAUUCCAAAUUUUGGCUCGAACAUUAUUCCGAAGGUUUUCAAGCAUUGGAUCGAAACCAAUAGUUUCAGACGUACUCAGUUGACCACUUCGACCUUUCAGACGGUGUCCUGUAUUUACCAAUUUUUCCUGUAGUACCAAACCAACCGAAUGACCUAUUUUUCAGUAUCAUUUUGGAUAUAUCCUAAUUGAUAAAGAUUUUGAGAUAGAAUAUCCAGAAAAAGUAAAUAAUUUUUUUACGAAAUUCUCUGUUCUGUUUGACGCAGCAUUGGAGCUUAAGAAAAAGACUUGUGUCAACACGGACAAUGAGUUCUUAGUUAACCUGUACAAGGCGAAUUAUCACAAGAUUCACGAACCCUUAUUCAGACUUAUCUAUUAUGUUCUUUCAUAUGUAAUAAGUGAAUGAAGUUAAAAAAGUGGAAACCCAGUGUUGCUGAAUCAAGAGAAUCGAUUAUACUUCAAGUCAAGUGCCCUACAGCAUAUUGAACAAAUUUUUACAAUUAAAUCUUAAUUCUGCAUAUAAAAAAUGUUGCAUUUACGCAAAUAAAAAAUAAUUUUAGUUACAAAACUGGUACGCUUCUCGUAAUUAAAGUUUACUGUUACGGAUAAAAUAUAUAUGUUUUAAAAAUCUUAUUAAAAUUGGGAAUAAUAUAUACCUUUCUAUUCUAAAUUAUAAUUUAUUUAUCACAAUUAAAUCAAGAUAUUCUUGUUGACA